rnacentral:rRNA from 1 species
UACGGGGGGAGCAAGCGUUGUUCGGAUUUACUGGGCGUAAAGGGCGCGUAGGCGGUCAGCACAAGUCAGUUGUGAAAUCUCCGGGCUUAACUCGGAAAGGUCAACUGAUACUGUGCGACUAGAGUGCGGAAGGGGCAACUGGAAUUCCUGGUGUAGCGGUGAAAUGCGCAGAUAAUCAGGAGGAACACCGGUGGCGAAGGCGGGUCUCUGGGCCGAUACUGACGCUGAGGAGCGAAAGCGUGGGGAGCGAACAGG